AUUGAACGCUGGCGGCAGGCCUAACACAUGCAAGUCGAGCGGAUGAAGAGGGCUUGCUCUCUGAUUCAGCGGCGGACGGGUGAGUAAUGCCUAGGAAUCUGCCUGGUAGUGGGGGACAACGUUUCGAAAGGAACGCUAAUACCGCAUACGUCCUACGGGAGAAAGUGGGGGAUCUUCGGACCUCACGCUAUCAGAUGAGCCUAGGUACGAUUAGCUAGUUGGUGAGGUAAAGGCUCACCAAGGCGACGAUCGUUAACUGGUCUGAGAGGAUGAUCAGUCACACUGGAACUGAGACACGGUCCAGACCCCUACGGGAGGCAGCAGUGGGGAAUAUUGGACAAUGGGCGAAAGCCUGAUCCAGCCAUGCCGCGUGUGUGAAGAAGGUCUUCGGAUUGUAAAGCACUUUAAGUUGGGAGGAAGGGCAGUAAGUUAAUACCUUGCUGUUUUGACGUUACCGACAGAAUAAGCACCGGCUAACUUCGUGCCAGCAGCCGCCGUAACAC
rnacentral:rRNA from 1 species